rnacentral:rRNA from 1 species
GUAGAGGAUGCUUCUGGGUAGCGGCCGGUCUAAGUUCCUUGGAACAGGACGUCAUAGAGGGUGAGAAUCCCGUAUGUGACUGGCUUGCACCCUCCACGUAGCUCCUUCGACGAGUCGAGUUGUUUGGGAAUGCAGCUCUAAAUGGGAGGUAAAUUUCUUCUAAAGCUAAAUACCGGCCAGAGACCGAUAGCGCACAAGUAGAGUGAUCGAAAGAUGAAAAGCACUUUGGAAAGAGAGUUAAAAAGCACGUGAAAUUGUUGAAAGGGAAGCGCCCGCAACCAGACUUUGCGGCGGUGUUCGGCUGGUCUUCUGACCGGUUUACUCGCCGCCGUGAGGCCAUCAUCGUCUGGGACCGCUGGAUAAGACCUGAGGAAUGUAGCUCCCUUCGGGGUGUGUUAUAGCCUCUGGUGAUGCAGCGCGUCUCGGGCGAGGUCCGCGCUUCGGCAAGGAUGAUGGCGUAAUGGUUGUCGGCGGCCCGUCUUGAAACACGGACCAAGGAGUCUAACAUCUAUGCGAGUGUUCGGGUGUCAAACCCCUACGCGUAAUGAAAGUGAACGGAGGUGGGAACUUUUUGUGCACCAUCGACCGAUCCUGAUGUCCUCGGAUGGAUUUGAGUAAGAGCAUAGCUGUUGGGACCCGAAAGAUGGUGAACUAUGCCUGAAUAGGGUGAAGCCAGAGGAAACUCUGGUGGAGGCUCGCAGCGGUUCUGACGUGCAAAUCGAUCGUC